CAUAAAGUUUUAAUCCCUUUUCAAAUAAGCACAAGCCUUUUUUUUUUUUUAGCCUUUCUUUUUAUUCAAAAAUGAAAGUAAAGAACUUUUUCAUCUAUUUAUAGUAAAAUUGCUUUCUGGAAUAAAAAUAGUGCGCAUUAUAUUGUCGAUACCUUAUGAAGAGUUUUUUUUUUAUUAUCACAUUACAUACGGAUCAUUUAUUCCUGUUUUCAGUUUAAAUCAUCCGUUUGCAAUGAAUAUAUUAAAUAUUUACCAAGUAGCUUAUACUAUAGAAGUACAAAAAAAAAGUAAAUUUAAAAAAAAUUAUUGUAGUGAAUUUUGUCUAAGAAUUAAUUGAAAAGAAAACAUAACUAAUUAAUAUGUAAUAAGAAUAAUAGAGAAAUGUUGAAGUGUAAAACUGUUACCUGUGUUUGUGAAACGUUGUGUUGUCAAACGAGGAGGAACCAAAUAUGUAUUAAAUUGAUGUGUAUGAAAAUUUAAUUCUAUUGCAAAUCUCUUACCAAUCAAAUUUAGGAAAUAUAUUUAAAUUUGAAAAAUAUCAUAAUUAUGUAUACUUAUAGUAUUUACAUUUAUAAAUAUAAUUAUUCUUCUACUAAUUUUAAUUUUUUCUAAUUGAUAUAUUUUUUUUGACAAGAUUGUAAACUAAAUUCUACAAUUUCAUACACACCAAUUUAACAAAUGGAGGAUCAUAGAUAAAUUAUUAAAGAUUUGUACCUGUAUCUGUUCGAAGGGUACCUCAAACGUGAAUGAUUCGUUGUAAUACGGAUUAAGAGUGCAUUUUUUGAUAGACGUUUUCUUCUUCUUCAACCUUUUGCCAUUUUGCAUCAGGGCGAUUUUUACGUAAGGAUCUGAUAAACCACCGACGUCCAUUUUCUUCAGAUUUUUCGCUUCCAAGAUGACCACGGUUAAUUUACCAGCAGUCGAAAAACAAAAUUAAUCCAGUUCAAAUUUACCUGACCACCUUCACCCUCGACGCUUUGCAAUUCUCUCCAUUCCUCGAUCGUCUGAGCCAGAUCGACUUGGCAUAACGGAACCUUGACUUCACCGAUCUGAUCGUGUUUGGAGAACCUAUCGAAGUCGAAGAUGGCGAAAACGAGAGUUUUGUUCAUCGCAUCCGCAUAAGCUUCAUCCGGUUCUUCGGCAUUGUCGGUAAGCUCUUCCAUAUCCGGCUGGACCUUAACAAAUCGAAGUGGAUUCCACGAGUGUAGAAUGUGCGUCUAAUAUCUACAUGAAGUCAUGGAACACGAUUACGUACCUUGUCCUUGUACGUGCUGCCCAAUAGUUGAACAGAUUUCAAGUCCACCGCCCCCUUCAAUCCUUUCUUCCCAUCUUUGGAUCGCCUUUUGCGACAGCAUCUUCUGAUGCAGCAGAAGCAGAUUCCGAGAACUACUACGCUUACAGCUA